UACGAAGGGGGCUAGGCGUUGCUCGGAUUUACUGGGCGUAAAGGGCGCGAUAGGCGGAGUGUUUAAGUCGGGGGUGAAGCCCGGGGCUCGAACCUCGGAAUUGCCUUCGAUACUGGACAUCUUGAGUACGGGAGAGGUGAGUGGAACUCCGGAGUGUAGAGGUGAAAUUCGUAGAGUAUUCGGAAGAACACCAGUGGCGAAGGCGACUCACUGGCCCGUUACUGACGCUGAGGCGCGAAAGCGUGGGGAGCAAACAGG
rnacentral:rRNA from 1 species